rnacentral:tRNA from 1 species
GGUGUAUUAGUUUAAUGGUAGAACUUGGCGUUUCGGCCGUUGUAGUACCAGUUCGAAUCUGGUAUACACUU